AGCGAACGCUGGCGGCAGGCCUAACACAUGCAAGUCGAACGAACCUUUCGGGGUUAGUGGCGGACGGGUGAGUAACACGUGGGAACGUGCCUUUAGGUUCGGAAUAACUCAUGGAAACUUGUGCUAAUACCGAAUGUGCCCUUCGGGGGAAAGAUUUAUCGCCUUUAGAGCGGCCCGCGUCUGAUUAGCUAGUUGGUUGAGGUAAUGGCUCACCAAGGCGACGAUCAGUAGCUGGUCUGAGAGGAUGAUCAGCCACAUUGGGACUGAGACACGGCCCAAACUCCUACGGGAGGCAGCAGUGGGGAAUCUUGCGCAAUGGGCGAAAGCCUGACGCAGCCAUGCCGCGUGAAUGAUGAAGGUCUUAGGAUUGUAAAAUUCUUUCACCGGGGACGAUAAUGACGGUACCCGGAGAAGAAGCCCCGGCUAACUUCGUG
rnacentral:rRNA from 1 species